UCCCUCCUGCUCCAGCCCGGGGCCGGGUCCGCCCGUCCCGCCGUUCAGGCGAGGAGCUGCUGAGGGGCAGAACCAAGGCUUAGAAAUGUCUCUCCCCGGUGUUUUGUGGAGCUACACACACACACCUUCUUGAGAAUUCUCAUGGUCUCCAAAUGCAGUAUACAGUCUUCUGGCAGAGAGGACAUCUGCAAGAAUGCACUGGAGGGCAGCAGAUUCCAACUUCUGCUAUGCCAUGAAGAGCUUCAAAAGGGGGAAAAAAGAAACUUUAGCCUACCAUUGGCCUUUUGUUCCAUUGAUGCACGUAUUUUUCAGAGACUUGUGUACAAAGCGGAUGUCAAGGGGUAAUCCAUGAACUGUGAUACUCCCCAGGCUUCUCCAUCAUCCUGUCUGCUGUAGGCCCAUGAUACAGACAGCUGAAGGGAUCCUGAUAAAUUACUGACCAAGUUCAAAAUACACAUCCAAAAAGAAGACUGAAGGGAAUGAGAAGAUGAUCCAGAUUAAAUGUGUGCUGAAAGACGAAUGAUUUGCCUUUGGUCUUUUGAUGUAACAGUUUCCCUGAGGAUCAGAGACUGCAAGGUGAGGAGCAGAUACUGUUUUUUUGUAAGGGCAAGUUAAAGGGGAAACAGCCUAUACUGGUAGAUCCCAAACUGAGUGUUUCAAAAUGAUGCGAAGUGAAACCUUGUAACUAAGAGUGUUUAACUGAUUCACUUAGUUUGGAUAACGCCAAAGUGGGGAGCAGCAUCACACCUAAACCAGGCUGCAGAUCUGAGGCAACAGCAACUUCUGAUGAAAAAUUAGCUGGGGACUAUAAUCAGCAACAAGAGAAAACUUGAAGGGAGUGACCCUCUUGGGCUGUCCCAGCUGAAAUCAGGGAUGCAUGUUUGAGGCCUAACAAGCAAAAGAGCAGUGAUGAUAUAAAACAACACAGUCAGGAGUUCCCUACUGGAGGACUUCUGAUUUCUAGCAAGCAUAAAGUUGUCCACGUACAAGUGCUGAAUUCAAGAAAUUCAAGACUUUGCAAGAGUUCUGGGCAAAACAGAAGCAGGCAUUUAUGAAAUAUUUAUUAGGUGUAAAUUUCUCUCCCCUGUGCAAGGUGAAUGAAAUGUAAAAAAUAAGAUAUAAGUGAAAGAGGCCCAGGAUAGUUGAGAGAAACCAGAAUCUGCAUAAGAAUACACUGAAGCGUAUUUCUGCAGCAAAUCAUGCGAUGUAGUGUUUCAAGUGCUAGAUUCUUAAUUGCAUUUUUAUAACUUCUACUUGCAAUACUAGAAUUGUACAGUGGAGUCAAAGCAUUUUUUGAGCAAUAGGAGUGAAUGUUAUUUGAAUAUCAAAGCACUAAUUUUUUUAUCAUUAUUAUUUGUUUGUAGCAUUCUAGCAGACACACAGCAAUUAUAUCUGUAUUUUCUACUCCCCUUCUUCUAUCUUCAGCUUAUUCAUCUUCUUCCUAUGUUUUGAAGCCCACUAAAAGCCUUCAUUCAGCAGAGUAUGUGAACAGAAUCUUUGUUCAGUAAAAUGCUUAAUUAUGUUUUACAGUGGUAUUCUUAUGAGUUAGGAGCACGUGUUAGGAGCACUGCACUGGGACCAGGUCCCGUCCUUGUGAAGGGCGUGAUUUAAGCACAGUCUUACUCAUGUAUCUCUGCAGUUCUCUGUCCCCUUCCUUCUAAUGCUCACCCUCAGCUGAGGACAAUAUUCUAACCACUAAUGAUUUGAAGUCAAGAUAGUUGUAUCUGAAUAUAGUAGCUUCCAUCAACCUCCCUGUAAAAUGUCAUACUCUGAUUAUUGCAAGCAGUUUGGAACAGAUAGCCAGGUAGGAAGUGUGUCACUCAAUUAAAAUUCACUGUAGCACCAUCUUAGCUUUCAUAGAGUCACAAGAGGUGCAGACAAUUCUUCUUAACUGUCCUUUAUUUUUUUUUCCCCUGCAUGGCCCUAUAUAUUUACACACUAUAAAGAAAUAAAUGCAUGAUUAUUGGGGUAAAUGGUAUUUUUAAAUAUUGUUCUAAUUUCAUCUUGCAUAAAGCUGUCAGGGUUUUGGAGGGAAUAUGAAGUGUCAGACCCUGAGACUCCCGGUUUUCGCAUUAUCUAUGGCUUUGAGAUAUUCCUGUCUUGAGAAGAAAGUAUAUUGAUAUUUCUGUCCAGUUGAUACUCGAUGAAAUUUUUAUGAUUAUCCUAUUCAUCAGAUGAAUUCUUUUGAGCUUUGCUAGUUCCGCACUGUCCCGGGCGGCCUGGGAGGAGCAGGCUCUUGUCGGAGCAAGAGGCAGAGGAAGGAGCGCAGGUCCCUCGGGCAGGCAGAGCUGUGACUGCCCGCGGGUCCGGCAGAGGGAAGUGUUGUUCUAAAAUUCCCGUCCCUGCAGGAGAGCCUUUGUUGGUCACUGCGAGCACCAGGAAUCAAUGACCUGGAGCGUAUGGAACAUGUGAUUUCUAAAUUGUCAGUAGAAGACAAAGAAGCUUUAGCAAAUGCCAGAAAGAGCAAGUAAGAUAAUAAGGAUAUACCAGGGAAUUAAAUGAAACUAUAUUAAUAACUAUGAAGCUUACAUGUUUUUUAUUAUCUUGAAUAGAAUAAAUGGUAGUAUGGAAUUUUAAGAGUUAAAGAGUUGUGGUCCGAUUGUUCAUGCUUCACCUGUAGCCAUUCAAAUCGAAAGACAGAAUCCUGAGAAUCAUAUAGGCAGAAAUGCACUUGGUGAUUGCAAAGCAAUUGUCAUAGGGUCCUUUAUUUACAGAACAGGCUCAGCUUCAGAUACUGCUGCCAGCAUGAUCACCGAUCAAGAUGCUGCUGCUCCUGCAACUCCAAACACUGCUGGAGGGCUAAAAGACAAGAGAAAUAUAAUCUCUGUAAUAUUAGAAAGAAUUUUCAAUAGCAAAUAUUUUAAAG